rnacentral:rRNA from 1 species
GAUGAACGCUGGCGGCGUGCCUAAUACAUGCGAGUCGAGCGAACAGACGAGGAGCUUGCUCCUCUGACGCUAGCGGCGGACGGGUGAGUAACACGUGGAUAACCUACCUAUAAGACUGGGAUAACUUCGGGAAACCGGAGCUAAUACCGGAUAAUAUAUUGAACCGCAUGGUUCAAUAGUGAAAGACGGUUUUGCUGUCACUUAUAGAUGGAUCCGCGCCGCAUUAGCUAGUUGGUAAGGUAACGGCUUACCAAGGCAACGAUGCGUAGCCGACCUGAGAGGGUGAUCGGCCACACUGGAACUGAGACACGGUCCAGACUCCUACGGGAGGCAGCAGUAGGGAAUCUUCCGCAAUGGGCGAAAGCCUGACGGAGCAACGCCGCGUGAGUGAUGAAGGUCUUCGGAUCGUAAAACUCUGUCAUUAGGGAAGAACAAAUGUGUAAGUAACUAUGCACGUCUUGACGGUACCUAAUCAGAAAGCCACGGCUAACUACGUG